AAGAACAUGAUGAAUAAGACAUUAUUGGUGGAUAUUUUGCGAUAUACACAAUGUAGCUUUCAAGCAAUAGAUUGGCUAGUCGGAUUCAACUUAUAAGCAGAAAACAGAAUAUGCACUGCGCAUACUUUCAUAAAGGGUAGCUGUAAAUCAUCUCUUGGUUCCUAUUAAAAUUUCCAGUUGAUAAAAUGUCUUGCUUCUUACUCCUAGCUUUGAUCCCCAUUUAGCAGGUUUACACUGCUCCAAAGGAGCUGUCUUGAUUGCCACAGAGACGCCUAAUUGCUCAUAAUCCAAAGCAGGGUUGGUUCUUCACCUCUUUCCUCUUUCCUCUCCUCUGUUUGCUUGUAGCUCUUCCUACUAAAAUCCAUUUGUCUUAUUCUCUCCAUUCCUUUUCCUUGUCACUACAGGUACAUAAUGUGAUUUAUUGUCCAUAUUUCUACUACACUGUAAUUACCAAAUUCAACAAUUCUAGUUUAAACCAUGUGCUGGGGAUCUUUGUAAUCAGGUAAGAAAUGACGACGUAUGAUCAGUCUGCUCUUCUUAAUCAGUUAACAUGGCUAGAGCAUUUAUAAUGGUUGUUGAUUGUUUGCUCUAAAAUUAAAAGUACCGAUUAUGCUAUCUUAGUUUUACAUAGACUCAUUAGACAAGUUGUUGGUUUGUAAUGCAUUGAUCAUUACUCCAUGUAACUUGGUAAACAACUUAGUUGUUUGAUAGAUAUUUCACUGCGGUUCUGCAGAUAAAUUCAUCCAGUCCUGAAGAACCGAGGAUCCUGCUCAUGUAACUUACCAAUUCUUUGCAGUAAAUAGGAACUAGGAAGAAAUAUGACAGCAAAAUAAGAGGGGAAUCAAAAUAGACCCUUUAUUUUCUAUUAAUUUUAGCUUUGAGCUAAUCAAGGAAGAUGAACAAAAGAGUUGUGAUGUGAUGGAGACUCAUUGCUAUUGAAAAAAAUAUAUAUAUAUUUCUGAAUAAUCUGAAGCUUUUUUUUUUUUUUUGGUUACUGUUACUGCUAAUGAUUUUACUGAAAAAUAAAGCAAAGUGCUUGAUUAUCACCAAUUUCAUUUUACUAUUUACAAUCAUCUAUGUGCAUUGUGCUUCUGAAAGUUAAAGAAAAAGCGAAGUAGAAGAACAUGAUAGCUUGCUCGUUCUUUUGAGAUGUCUGACAGUUACCAGUUAGUCAUUUUGUAUGCUAUUUUCUUUUUCUCUGUGUUUCACUGGGCGCCAACAACCAAGCCUUUCCUAAAGACAAUGACUGAAUUUUUUUUUUUGGGGUGGGGGGGUAAAAGACAAUGUUGCCCCAGAUAAACCCGUCUCUGCAAUUACUAUCAACAGGAUUUUCUGCUUGGGAGGCGUGUGUUAUUUUGGCUUAAUGGGUGUGAAAAUUUGAAAUGUUUUGGUGCUUUGGUAGCCCACUGUAGGAACUGUCAGAAUUCAGGCGCAAGAAAUUUAUGAAAGUGAUGCGCUGCUGCUAUUGCUUUUACUUUCCAAAAACACUCCGCUACUAUAUGUUACAGACAAAUAUGGUGCAUUUAUAAUUGCUCUUCUCGGCAUGCACCCAAAAGCCUAGUCAUUG
rnacentral:lncRNA from 1 species